CCCUCGGGAUGCGCUUCGCUGUUCUCUAGGAGGUACCAACCUCUGGCGGUGGGUCUUGCGUCCCGGCGGAAAGCUCCGAGGAGUCCUGUAGACUUGUGGCUCGGGUGGAGCCGGCGGAAAACCCCGAGAAGCUUGAGACAGCCGUGGCUGAGGUGGAGCCGGCGUCGCUGCCCUGGAGCGUGGGCGAGUUUCCUCUUAGCCGGAGCUUCAGGGAUUGACUCAAAGACUCCUCCGCUUUUUUAGUUGUUUUGGGUGUGAAUACAGCCCGGACUAAACCUUAGUCGCCUAGACUAAACCUUAGCCUCCCAGGCUGCCAAAACAGCACAGCUUUUACAGAUGACUCUUACAUCACCAUCCCUACUCUGUGAUACUGUGUUUUUCAAAGUUUAGUGCCUGAACCAUCAGCAUGAAAUCUGCCUGAGACGGUUGUUGAAAAUUCACAUCGCUGGGCCUUGCGGCAGGAUGCCUCUUGAAGCCCAAGUGGAAGCCAACAGAAGAGGGGUCCAUGUGUACAGAUAGGCCUGGAGUGAUCCAUGUUCCAACAGCAGUCCCUUUAACCUCACUUGAAUGUGGAGGCUGCACAGGUCACAAGUCUGAAGACUACAAGCUACCUUUGCUUAAAAGGAACCACACCACCGCUGAUAGCUAACUGCUAGAUUGUUCUCCAGCAUAUCAGAGCUACAUUGAAUUGCUUGAGUUGUGCUUCAAUUAAUGUAGAGAUCUUCACUGAAUCGCACAUAACCAUUGAAGUAACCUGCUGUUUACAGUCUCUAUCAUGCUCUGCCAAGAGAGUUAUUUUACAGUGACAAAACUUCUCUUCUGGUGCCCUGACACAUCCUAGGACUUUGAUGUUGGUAAUUCUUUCCCCUCAGCAAAUGUUGGUUCUAAAUCCACAGAACUACUUGAGAAACUA
rnacentral:lncRNA from 10 species